CCUACGGGGUGCAGCAGUGGGGAAUAUUGGACAAUGGGCGAAAGCCUGAUCCAGCCAUGCCGCGUGUGUGAAGAAGGCCUUCGGGUUGUAAAGCACUUUCAGUGGGGAAGAAAGCCUUGGGGCUAAUACCCUCGAGGAAGGACAUCACCCACAGAAGAAGCACCGGCUAACUCCGUGCCAGCAGCCGCGGUAAUACGGAGGGUGCGAGCGUUAAUCGGAAUUACUGGGCGUAAAGCGCGCGUAGGCGGUCUGAUAAGCCGGUUGUGAAAGCCCCAGGCUCAACCUGGGAACGGCAUCCGGAACUGUCAGGCUAGAGUGCAGGAGAGGAAGGUAGAAUUCCCGGUGUAGCGGUGAAAUGCGUAGAGAUCGGGAGGAAUACCAGUGGCGAAGGCGGCCUUCUGGACUGACACUGACGCUGAGGUGCGAAAGCGUGGGUAGCAAACAGGAUUAGAUACCCGUGUAGUC
rnacentral:rRNA from 1 species